rnacentral:rRNA from 1 species
GACGAACGCUGGCGGCGUGCUUAACACAUGCAAGUCGAACGAAAGGGCCCUGCUUUUGUGGGGUGCUCGAGUGGCGAACGGGUGAGUAACACGUGAGUAACCUGCCCUUGACUUUGGGAUAACUUCGGGAAACUGGGGCUAAUACCGGAUAGGAGCUCCUGCUGCAUGGUGGGGGUUGGAAAGUUUCGGCGGUUGGGGAUGGACUCGCGGCUUAUCAGCUUGUUGGUGGGGUAGUGGCUUACCAAGGCUUUGACGGGUAGCCGGCCUGAGAGGGUGACCGGCCACAUUGGGACUGAGAUACGGCCCAGACUCCUACGGGAGGCAGCAGUGGGGAAUAUUGCACAAUGGGCGGAAGCCUGAUGCAGCAACGCCGCGUGCGGGAUGACGGCCUUCGGGUUGUAAACCGCUUUCGCCUGUGACGAAGCGUGAGUGACGGUAAUGGGUAAAGAAGCACCGGCUAACUACGUG